rnacentral:rRNA from 1 species
UACGUAGGGCGCAAGCGUUGUCCGGAAUUAUUGGGCGUAAAGAGCUCGUAGGCGGUUUGUCGCGUCGGAUGUGAAAGCCCGGGGCUUAACCCCGGGUCUGCAUUCGAUACGGGCAGACUGGAGUGUGGUAGGGGAGAUCGGAAUUCCUGGUGUAGCGGUGAAAUGCGCAGAUAUCAGGAGGAACACCGGUGGCGAAGGCGGGUCUCUGGGCAGUAACUGACGCUGAGAAGCGAAAGCAUGGGGAGCAACAGG